rnacentral:rRNA from 1 species
UCGCGCGAUCGCCUUACGGCUCAGUACACGUAGCUAACCUAACCUAAAGUCGAUGAUAACCUCGCGAAAGUGAGGCUAAACAUCGAUACGCAAAGAUCGCUGGAAUGCUUUUUUGCUGAAACUCGCGCUUUAGGAUGGGGCUGCGGCUGAUUAGGCUGUUGGCGGGGUAAAAGCCCACCAAACCGUUGAUCAGUAAGGGCUCUUAGCGGAGAUGCCCUGAGAGGAAAUCUGAGACACUAUUUCCAGCCCUACGGGGUGCAGCAGUUGCGAAAAUUUUUCAAUGCGCGCAAGCGUGAAAAAGCAAACCAGAGUGCGUUCUUUUAAAGAACGCUUUUGUUUGCUGUAAAAAAGCAGAUGAAUAAGGAGUGGGCAAGACUGGUGCCAGCCGCCGCGGUAAUACCAGCGCUCCAAGUGGCAGCCACAAUUAUUGGGUCUAAAACAUUCGUAGCCUGUUGUGAAAGUUUCUUGUUAAACGUUACAGCUUAACUGUAGCACUGCGAGAAAAACUACAUGACUAGGGACCGGUAGAUGUAAGAAGAACAAUUAAGGAAAUGGUAAAAUAUUCUAAUCUUGAUUGGACUAACAAUGGCGAAGGCAUCUUACAAGCACGGAUCCGACGGUGAGGAAUGAAAGCUAGGGGCGCAAAAUGGAUUAGAUACCCAUGUAGUCCUAGCCGUAAACACUGCACACUAAACUUUAUCUUCUCUUAGGGAGAAUGUAGAGCUGUAGAGAAGUCGAAGAGUGAGCUACCUGGGGAGUAUAGCCGCAAGUCGAAACUUAAAGGAUUGGCGGGGAGCACAGGCGAAUCGUUAAACUGCAGACUAGUCCUUAGUGAGGUAUCUGAGCUGCGUAUCAUGUCAUAGCUGUUCCUGUGUGCAUGUUAUCGGCUCACAUCACAACACGAUGAGCUAACUGUUAGCUGGGUGCUAAUGAGUGGACCCUAA